rnacentral:rRNA from 1 species
CAGCAGCCGCGGGAAUACGUAGGUCCCGAGCGUUGUCCGGAUUUAUUGGGCGUAAAGCGAGCGCAGGCGGUUUGAUAAGUCUGAAGUUAAAGGCUGUGGCUCAACCAUAGUUCGCUUUGGAAACUGUCAAACUUGAGUGCAGAAGGGGAGAGUGGAAUUCCAUGUGUAGCGGUGAAAUGCGUAGAUAUAUGGAGGAACACCGGUGGCGAAAGCGGCUCUCUGGUCUGUAACUGACGCUGAGGCUCGAAAGCGUGGGGAGCGAACAGGAUUAGAUACCCGAGUAGUCCCUGUCGCUUAUACA